GGUCAGAUGGCCGAGUUGGUCCAAGGCGUUCGACUCAAGUUUCUCGCUUGGAAUUCGAAUCUCGUAAGAGGCGUGGGUUCGAAUCCCACUCUGACCA